rnacentral:misc_RNA from 1 species
GAUGAAGAACGCAGCGAAAUGCGAUAAGUAAUGUGAAUUGCAGAAUUCUGUGAAUCAUCGAAUCUUUGAACGCACAUUGCGCCCGCCAGUAUUCUGGCGGGCAUGCCUGUUCGAGCGUCAUUUCAACCAUCAAGCCCCAGGCUUGUGUUGGGGACCUGCGGCUGCCGCAGGCCCUGAAAACCAGUGGCGGGCUCGCUGUCACACCGGGCGUAGUAGAUUUUAUCUCGCUCUGGGCGUGCUGCGGGUUCCGGCCGUUAAAAAACCCUUUUAACCCAAGGUUGACCUCGGAUCAGGUAGGAAUACCCGCUGAACUUAAGCAUAUCAAUAAGCGGAGGA